rnacentral:rRNA from 1 species
GAUGAACGCUGGCGGCGUGCUUAACACAUGCAAGUCGAACGGAAAGGCCCAAGCUUGCUUGGGUACUCGAGUGGCGAACGGGUGAGUAACACGUGGGUGAUCUGCCCUGCACUUCGGGAUAAGCCUGGGAAACUGGGUCUAAUACCGGAUCGGACGAUGGUUUGGAUGCCAUUGUGGAAAGUUUUUUCGGUGUGGGAUGAGCUCGCGGCCUAUCAGCUUGUUGGUGGGGUAAUGGCCUACCAAGGCGUCGACGGGUAGCCGGCCUGAGAGGGUGUACGGCCACAUUGGGACUGAGAUACGGCACAGACUCCUACGGGAGGCAGCAGUGGGGAAUAUUGCACAAUGGGCGCAAGCCUGAUGCAGCGACGCCGCGUGGGGGAUGACGGCCUUCGGGUUGUAAACUCCUUUCGCUAGGGACGAAGCGUUUUGUGACGGUACCUGGAGAAGAAGCACCGGCUAACUACGUG